AGUACAAGAGAUCAGGUUACAUUUGGAGUUCAGAUAAACAAUGAAUUGUGUUUUUUAGUAUAAGUAUGUCCCGUGCGGUGUUUGGGAUAUACUUAUGCUAAAAGAAUUAUUUGUUGUUUACCUGAAACUCAAAUUUAACUGGCCAUCUGGGAUUU
rnacentral:miRNA from 1 species